rnacentral:lncRNA from 1 species
UUUAAAACAUGGUCAUGUCAAGAAGUAGAGGAAACCAGCACUGCUGUCUGAAUGGAUGAGCUUCUUUAAUUUCAGGAUUCAGUCAUAGGAAAUCUAUUAGGCACUUUUGUUAAGCUACAUUCUCCAACUUGACUUUUAUCAAUAAUAAAAGCAUAACUAUUUGGGCCUGCUAGUUGUCAUUCCUUAGUUUUACUUCUCGAUUCGUUUCUGAACAAAUCUGCAGUAAGGAAGUAAUCUGAGUAAGGAAGAGGGUGCCAUGUGUUGGAGGUUUCUUGGUGACCACAGCAUUUGCUGCACUGACUGGAACAAUGGACGCUAAAAACAAAAGACUUGAAAUUAGGGAGCAAAGUGGACUCCGGAAAGGCUUCUUGAAGAGUCACGCUAUGAUGUCUUUAAAUCUUCAAACAAGUUCACUGAAUGCAGUGCCGUGUAGUAGUAGUGCUUUGAUGGAUGAAGAGGAGGGGAAUAACCAAGUUUUACUACCAAUGGAUCCAAAAGGGAAAACAGGCACAGGAUCAGGAAUAAUGGGAAAGCACCAAGAAAUCAUGGGUUUUGGAUGGAAACAGCUAUCAACACAUGUGUUCUUCCCACCUUGUUCAACUGGAACUCAGAGAAGCCUUCAGUAA